rnacentral:misc_RNA from 1 species
GAUAAAGAACGCAGCGAAAUGCGAUAAGUAAUGUGAAUUGCAGAAUUCAGUGAAUCAUCGAAUCUUUGAACGCACCUUGCACUCCUUGGUAUUCCGAGGAGUACGCCUGUUCGAGUGUUAUGAAGCUCUCAAAACGCAAUUGGCUUAAAACCUGAUUGUUGUUUUGGAUUUGAACUUUGCCGUGUUAUAACGGCUGGUUUUAAAAGUAUUAGCUGGUACUAGAACGAAUUGGUUCUACUCAACGUGAUAAUUAUCUGAUCGUUGAGGACAUUCCUUUCACGAGGAAUGGCCAUAGUAAAUUCAAUGGACUGCUUCUAAUCUGGCUUUAAUUCUUUAUUGGAUUAACCACUUUUCAAAUCUGACCUCGAAUCAGGUGGGACUACCCGCUGAACUUAAGCAUAUCAAUAAGCGGAGGA